GACGAACGCUGGCGGCGUGCCUAACACAUGCAAGUCGAACGGACAGGCCCUGCUUUUGUGCGGUGCUCGAUUGGCGAACGGGUGAGUAACACGUGAGUAACCUGCCCUUGACUUUGUGAUAACUUCAGGAAACUGGGGCUAUUACCGGAUAGGAUCUCUUGCUCCAUGGUGGUGGUUGGAAAGUUUCGGCGGUUGGGGCUGUACUGGCGGGUUACCAGCUUGUUGGGGGGGUAGUGGCUUACAAAGCCUUUGACGGGUAGCCUGCCUGAGAGGGUGGCCGGGGACAUUGGGACUGAGAUACGGACCAGACUCCUACGGUAGGCAGCAGUGGGGAAUAUUGCACAAUGGGCGGAAGCCUGAUGUAGAGACGCCGCGUGCGGGAUGACGGGCUUCGGGUUGUAAACCGCUUUCGCCUGUGACGAAGCGUGAGUGACGGUAAUGGGUAAAGAAGCACCGGCUAACUACGUG
rnacentral:rRNA from 1 species